CGACGUGCAUUCAGUCAGCAAAGCAAAGCGGCGCGCAUGUUUUUUUUCUCGUUAUUUUGUUUCUUCCAAUGGCCGCAGCCGCGCUUUGGUACGAGUGAGUGAGAGCCGAACCCGCUGCGAGAGUCGCCAGCAGUCAGAGUUAGUCAGCAGUCAGACUCUAGCCCGUCUGUGGAAGGAACGUUCUUCAUCAGCGAGAAGAGCUGGAUCAGGUUAACUGUAUCGGUUGGUCAGUCUUGGAGCCGAAAUUAAUGGCCAUCGCUUUUCAGAGCAAAUCAGAUUGGAGAUCAGUGCACUAGUUAGUGCUGGAAGGUGGUUAAAAGUUGUUGAUUUCGAACCGUGGGGUGAAAAGUGAUCAUCGGUCGGUAGAAUCCAGGUUUUGGUGGGUCGGAAAACUUUGCCAGUUUCGCACUAUCAUUGCGCGAGGAGCGAACAAGCAACGGUGUGCGAGUGAGUGAAAGGGAAGAAAGCAGAAGCAACUGGGAGUAACCAGCCAGUAGGUUUUUGAUCAGACGAAAGUAAAAGUGUUUUUAGUUGUGUUAUUUUUUUCGGUGAUCGCUAUUGCGUUUCGGAAGGGAACUGUUCUGUGAAAACUGAGUUUCCAGCAAACUACAAGUUGAUGUGCGUCAAGUGAAAACACAAACCCAGCGAUAAGUUUUGCAAUUCAAAUAAAUAGGUACUUGAACUGCAGCUGGUGCGCAGAUAACGGAGACUGAGGAGCUCAAAAUCCGACGAAAACUAUAUAUCCUGGACCAAACUGAAUCUCUAAUACCAUUAGCUGUUAAUACGAAAAGUGACGUAUUCCAAAUUAUACAAACACUACCUACAGUUAACGAUGAUUGACGGAAAAAGAUACAGUGCGCUUUGCAAGACUUUCUCAUGCAGGUGCUAUCUAUGUGAAGCGAAUCCAAUUGAAAUGGAUAACACGGAGAAGAGCUUGUAAAAACCUGUGAACGACAAAGGCUUCGAGUUUGGUUUAUCACCACUUUAUUCGUGGAUCAGAUUCUUCGAGUAUCUACUCCAUAUAUCGUAUCGUAUAGAUAUUCAAAAAUAGCCAGCACGGUCAAUGAAGAGGGCAACCAGAAAAAUGGCCAUUCAGUCAGGAAUGGUUAGAGUCAAUUGUUUAUAAACCUUAAUGUAGUAGCAGCGGUACAUCGAAUGAUGGAAAUUCUACCAGAUUGUUUUUAAAAUUUUUCAAAGAUUACAGGCCUUAAGCAGAACUAUUCUGCAAAGCUUAUCAUAAGUAUGUGAAAUAAAUACGUUUAAAGAAUACGCAAUAACUACUGCUCGAAUGUUGGUAGACCGUCUUCGGUAUUCAAAGUGCUCCCACGCGGUGAUUUAGUUAUCGAUUAAAGCACUGGUUUCAAUUGGUGAACUUUUAGAAGUAGCAGUAAAAUCAAAGAACAAAAAUAUUAAAAACUUCCGCUUGGAUCACAUUCGUAGAAUAUCGCGAAUUACCACCAACGCAGACCUACCUCAAAGAAAAUUGCUGUAUACAGAUCCCUUCAUUUCAAGCUUGAGACAAUCAUCGACAUCUAACAAAAAAACAAGCUCAAAAGAAAAAAUGUUAAGGUUGGUCUUUGUUUAAUGUUAAGUUGGAUUCAUUUCUGAACAACAGAUAUUGUUACCUCCAUUCAACAUUUAUAUUAGGAGCAGUACGGUAACCAAUUUCAAUGAUUCCAGAAUGGAGACGCAUCCAAUUUCAACCUUUUUAUUUUAUUUCAAUAUUAUAAAAAUGGGCUGAAAAUUUCUAAAAGAUGGUCUUAAGCUACUCUAUACUUACGUAAAAUAAUCUUGAAAUGACCCCAACAUUGACCGAAAAUGAUGUAAAUGUAAUAAAAAUUUCUAAACAUUAAAAAACAUUUAUUUUAUGAUCGGUCCACCCCUCGCCCCGUGAGACCCUUCUCUUUUUUCAAAAAAGUGCAAUUUGUCUUAAAAAAGUCUUGUUUCCUUUCAAUUAUAGCUUUAAAAGCAUGAUGUCUAGGAGUAAAUUGAUACAUGGAUUUUGAAGAAAAAUGUGUUGACGGUUCCAAAACAAUAUCAAUUUUAAGCGACAGUGUUGCCAGAUAUCUUGUAAAUGCACUUUAAAAAUAAAAUUGCAUUUCUCGCUAAAUGAGUGUAUUUUGAUUUCAAAUUACACAAUUUAAUCGUAUUCCUGAGAAAAUUUCACAUAAAAACCACUUAUCACUCCGAGGUUUAUGAGCAAAAUUUGAGUUAUAGCAUUUCUUGUUAUUAUUCUGCUAAUAUCUCUAAAACUGGCUUGAUUAUGGAGUUCUGAGUAAUGAAAUUUGAAGAAAAUUAUUCAAAAAUACAAAAAAAAAAACAACAAUUUUGACCGGCAGUGUUGCCAGAUAUGUUUUUUACAGUUUAAAUUUUAAAAUGCAUUUUUCGGCCAAUAAGAAUAUUUUGAUCUCGAAUUCGCUAAUUGCAUCGUGUUGUUAAGAAAAUUUUAUUCGAGAAACACCUAUUACGUAGGGUAUUAUGCAAAAACUCGAGUUACAGCAAUCUUAAGAAACUUUCAGAUUUUUAAUUUGAAUUCUUAUAUUUGAAGUUCACAUAAAAACAAGUAAAACAUUUUCAUUUGUUGGCGCUACGAGACUGGUGUGAUGGCUUUUGAGUAUUAGUUUGCUAUAAACCGUAUAUCUCCAAGACAAAAAGACUUAAAAGUAAAGUGUCUUCGACAAAGUUUUUGUGCUAACGACUUUGCUGAAGACAUCACUUCUCUAAAGUAGUAGUACGAGUAGAGGCUCGAAAACAUGAUUUUACUGCAUGACAACGCUCGGCUUUAAAAAGUCAUCAAAACUUAUAUAGAAACGCUCAAAUGGGAAGGCCUACUUCAUCCAACCGCGUCCUAAAAUCUCAUCAAAAAUUCAUUGGUGAGUCAUUACAAACAUCCACAGCCAGAUUUACGUGGAGGUCAUGGUCCCCGGGCUCC